rnacentral:tRNA from 1 species
GGCACUGUAGCUUAGUUGGUUAAAGAGCCUGUCUAGUAAACAGGAGAUCCUGGGUUCAAGUCCCAGCAGCGCCU